rnacentral:lncRNA from 1 species
AGUUCCUGUGGAACAUUUCCUAAAGGAAAAAGACACAAACACUAGCAGAACACCACUCUAUAAAAAACAAACAAAGUUAAAAGAUUGUGCACAGAAAGGAUGGUAAGGGUCCAACUUUAAGAUCACAAAAGCAAUAAAUUCCAAGUUUGAGGUUAAAAUAUGGUUAUUAGUAUUUCCCAUGCUACCAUAUAUUACAGUUUUUAUUGAACACUUUCUAAUGUUGUUUUGAUGGAUAACCCCAGAACCCAUGACAUGUACUAGAAAUGAAAAUUUUCGGGCUUUAAUGUUAAUACUAUGAGUUUGUAUAAUGCUUGACCUGUUUUCAAAGGCUUUUCUGCAUUCAUCAUCUCAUUUGGGAGCCUUAGCAGCUUGUUCUAUGUCCUUUUCGUUAAAUCACAUCCCCCCUCCAGUAACUUUUUGUGACUGAAAAGUACACCUUAAUUAUAACCAUAAAUAAUUCCAUGUUUUACUGUUAUGCUGGAUGAAAUAUCGAUUAUUGAGUAAAAAAGGCUUAAUAAUUUGAAGAUGACAUAUAAUACAAGUUUAGAACUGCUGUGAAGCUAGUUGUACCCUGUCCAUGUUUUCCAGCACAUUAGUGCUGUCUCUUCAGUUAACAGCUUUGUAACUACUGACCCUGAAACCAUGCAAGCUGAAUUCAAAUAAAUUCUAUAACUAUAUAGAAGUACAUGCCCAUAUGCGCACAGGAAUGCACUUUUUUAUCAUGUUUUGGUAAAUCUGAAGAUUGCAAUAGAAAGGAUCAGAUAUUGUGGAAUAAUAAAUAAAAUUAUGAAGCUAUAUGAUAAUAGAACACAUUAGGACUCAAAACAAGUCAGUACUUUUAGUUAUGCAUCAUUCCUUGCAAACAGCUCAAAGAAUCUUCUUUGUGUUCAGGCCUUUAUAUUAUUUCACUGUUAUAAUGUACUCGCAGAAAAUAUGCCUUGCUAGUUUUAAUAUUUAGGAUUUGCCAAUUUCUUCCUAGGAACUUUAUUGGAAAGGGAAAGACCCUAAAGUAUUUUGAUACUAACUUCCUAAUUUUAUUAUGGGUUCACAUAAUUUCUCAAUAAGAGACAAGAUUAGACUGCUAGUCAAUCAUUUUAUUAAUUUUUGAAAAGUAUUGAAUUCAUAGUGAUGAAUAAAAUU